UAAUGAUACACUGUACAUCAUGUACAUUGGACGUCACACUGUGCGGCCAUUUGUUUGGGCGAUUUUGACACAUCUUGGCAACACGUCUUUCGUGCAGAGUGUUCGGAAGAUUGCUGCUUUUUGCUUCUCUUCAGUAAAAUUUGUGUAAUUUGCUGUGGAAAUUCACUAAAACUUGGUUUCGUUGAGGAAUAGGAUGUAAACAAUCACCAAAUUUCAACUGCAGAGGAUAGAACAUCGGUAGGAAAAAAGGAGCUAAACACGAGCUGGAAAUUUCGGUAGCAUCAACAAUGGAAAUAUACCACCGUUCGAGGAAGAGUACAGGCGAGCAUUAUCCGAGAAAACUACACUGCGCGCUCGUAUGCUACAGCGCAAUCCUCGGCAAAAUUGGGAAAGGUGCAGAUGAGGGCUGAGACAACAGAUACUUUCGUUAUGGAUAUGAAACGCUGUGAGCAAAGAACUGUGGAAGAACGUUGCGGUUUUACUCGUACAACUGCGAUGAGAAAUCUUCCAACCAUACGGUCGGAAGAUGAUUGAAUGGUAAAAGCGCUACUUCAAAGGAAAAAUGAACGAUGUAGCGACAAAAGCUGAUGCCGCAAGUGGAAGGUCAGCGCAGAGGUAGCAGUAACGCAGAAUGCCAUUGCAGAAUGCGAAUACUGGCACGCAAUACAAUGUCUCUAUAUUACUUAGCAAAAGAGGAUACUCCUGAUACUCUUCUCCUCCUGGUACUCCUGAACUUAC